GGGCUCGUGGUCUAAUUGGGAAGACGUCCGAAGUCGACACCGUCCAGUUCACUGGUGGUGCAAUGGUCUUCACCGGUGCAAAAGCUGACGGUUCGGAAGAUGUGAGUUCGACUCGCGCCGGGUCCA